rnacentral:rRNA from 1 species
AUUGACCGCUGGCGGCAGGCCUAACACAUGCAAGUCGAGCGAGCGGGGGACGGGUGAGUAAUGUCUGGGAAACUGCCCGAUGGAGGGGGAUAUCUACUGGAAACGGUAGCUAAUACCGCCUACGAUCAGAUGUGCCCAGAUGGGAUUAGCUAGUAGGUGGGGGAACGGCUCACCUAGGCGACGAUCCCUAGCUGGUCUGAGAGGAUGACCAGCAACACUGAAACGUAGACACGGUCCAGCAACCUACGGGAGGCGGCAGUGGGGAAUAUUGCACAAUGGGCGCAAGCAGGAUGCAGCGAUGCCGCGUGUGUGAAGAAGGCCGUGGGGUUGUAAAGCACUUGCAGCGGGGAGGCGUUACCCGCAGAAGAAGCACCGGCUAACUCCGUGCCAGCGGCCGCGGUAAUUC